rnacentral:pre_miRNA from 1 species
UGCAUACUCCCUCCGUCCGGAAAUACUUGUCAUCAAAAUGGAUAGAAGGGGAUGUAUCUAGAUGCAUUUUAAUUCUACAUACAUAUCUUUUUAUCCAUUUUGAUGACAACUAUUUUCGGACGGAGGGAGUAUUUG